GCAGAGGAUUUUUCAGCUCAUCUGAAAUCUUCCCUUGGUGGUAUAGUUGGGACACAGAAGCCACAGUUCAGACCUAUCCCAAGUUGGUUCUCUGGGUACCUUUUGUAGGAAUAUGAAAACGGGGGCCAGUGCCUUGGCUCCACAGCUCUGACGGGAUACACACUCCUGACUUCCCAGCGAGAAUAUCUCCGCCUUUUGGACGCUCUCUGCCCUGAAUCCUUGGGAGACCAUACUCAGGAAGAGCCUGACUCCCUCUUGGAAGUGCCUGUGAACUUCCCGCUGUUCCUGCAGCACCCCUUCCGCCGGCACCUCUGCUUCUCUGCAGCCACCAGGGAGGCACAGCAUGCCUGGAGGCUGGCCCUGCAGGGUGGCAUCCGGCUUCAGGGCACAGUCCUGCAGCGAAGCCAGGCCCCUGCUGCCCGGGCCUUCCUGGACGCCGUCCGACUCUACCGGCAGCACCAAGGCCA
rnacentral:sRNA from 1 species